ACUUCCCUAUAGAUAAAUAGAUGAUUAUAUUGAAACUUUUCUGUGACUUAGAAACUGUUCGAAGGUUUGCUCAAAACUAAAACUCAGAUCAGAGGCAUUCAAACUAGCUGCACGAAAGAAGAUGGCUCCUCACCUCCAGAGAUUAAUACGUUCUCUGUUAAGUGAGAAAAGAAACAUAUACCUGAGCAAGCCAGCUCCUGGCUUCGUCGGUGAGGUCACACGAGUCGUCGCCGACGAGGUCGUCCCUGAGCCGGCCGUACGCCAGCAUGAACCUCUCGCGGGCGUCGGCGAUGCCAUGAUCAGACUGCCACCGCUGCUCCUGCCUGGUGCAUUUCACCGACGAGGCCUCGCCUCGCAACCUCAGCUUCUCCAUGAGCUCGUGCUCGACGCCGGUGCUCCUGCCGUCGUCUCCAUUAUUGCUAAGAGGCCUCACCUGCAUGGACAUGCUAUAUCGGCUUUGUCAUGGCGAAAAGAACAAUGAUCGAGCUGGAAUGUUUGACACACUCAGCAUCAUAUCAUCAUCACGUCGAACUAACGGUACACUGGGCGAGGGCGAUGCAUGCAUGCGACGAUGCAGCCACCUUCAAGUUGCAGGCCUGCCUUGUCAGAGUCGCAUAUAUUUCCCAGCUAUUGUUGCCUCUAUCGCGCCUUCUCCUCCACUGAUUCCAGGAGAAGAUCGAUCGAGAAAUCGAUCCGGCGUUUCCGGCCGAUCGACCAGGCACCAUCUCAUGGCGUGCACCGGCGGCAACUCAAAAGUACUCAGAUAUGCAAUUCUGGACGCCAUUUGAGCCAACUUUCGCGUGCUUGGCUCGAUCAAGGCCACUAACGUGACGCCUAACAUGCUGGCACGCUGCGUCUCUUGAUGCAUGCGUGCCACAGCUAACUACAGCGCACGUACUGUUGCGGCAAGCUAAGGUUGCUGUUGCUGCAACAGUAGCUGCGUCUCUUAAUGCAUUAGCUUUGUCUGUGAUAGUGUCUCGCGAGAAGACGUGCCUUGCUAGUUACUAAUUCCUCCGUCCAAAAAAAAGACUUCAUUUUUAUCACACCUCAUAUAUACCUGUAAAAAGCUACAAAGACCAUAAUGUUUUUUUACUUUUGAAACCUCAAUGCAUAU